UCGAAGCAGGAUGGCUUGUUCACAAACGAUAAUGAUUUACCCGAGUCUCCUUCAUAUGUCUUGAGAAGAAUAGAGAACCCCCUUUCUGAGGCCAGGCAAAAUAAGGAAAGUUCUAAUAGAGCAAAGAUAAAACUCAAUGAGGGAAGCGCUAGGCAGGAUGUCUCGCUCGCAAAUAAAUAUGAUUUACCCGAGUCUCCUUCAUUUGGCUUGAGAAGAAUAGAGGACUCAAGUUUUUUUUGCCCAAC